rnacentral:pre_miRNA from 8 species
ACCCAAACCCAGGUCUGCUGACUCCUAGUCCAGUGCUUGUGAUGGCUGGUGGGCCCUGAACUAGGGGUCUGGAGGCCUGGGUUUGAAUAUCACCAG